UCUGGCGGCGGUAGCGCGGUGGUCCCACCUGACCCCAUGCCGAACUCAGAAGUGAUUGAAACGCCGUAGCGCCGAUGGUAGUGUGGAGAUGCUCCCCAUGCGAGGUAAAGAGAACUGCCAGAC
rnacentral:rRNA from 1 species